rnacentral:rRNA from 1 species
UACGUAGGGCGCAAGCGUUGUCCGGAAUUAUUGGGCGUAAAGAGCUCGUAGGCGGCUUGUCACGUCUGCUGUGAAAUCCCGGGGCUCAACCCCGGGCGUGCAGUGGAUACGGGCUGGCUAGAGGCAGGCAGGGGAGAACGGAAUUCCCGGUGUAGCGGUGAAAUGCGCAGAUAUCGGGAGGAACACCAGUGGCGAAGGCGGCUCUCUGGGCAGAUACUGACACUGAGACGCGAAAGCGUGGGUAGCAAACAGG